UACGGAAGGCAGCAGUGGGGAAUAUUGCACAAUGGGCGAAAGCCUGAUGCAGCUAUGCCGCGUGUAUGAAGAAGGCCUUAGGGUUGUAAAGUACUUUCAUCGGGGAGGAAAAAACAAAACUAAUAAUUUUAUUUCUUGACGUUACCCGAAAAAGAAGCACCGGCUAACUCCGUGCCAGCAGCCGCGGUAAUACGGAGGGUGCUAGCGUUAAUCAGAAUUACUGGGCGUAAAGAGCACGUAGGUGGUUUUUUUAAGUCAGAUGUGAAAUCCCUGGGCUUAACCUAGGAACUGCAUUUUGAAACUGAAAUACUAGAGUAUCGUAGAGGGAGGUAGAAUUCUAGGUGUAGCGGUGAAAUGCGUAGAUAUCUGGAGGAAUACCUGUGGCGAAAGCGGCCUCCUAAACGAAUACUGACACUGAGGUGCGAAAAGCGUGGGGAGCAAAACAGGGAUUUAGGAUACC
rnacentral:rRNA from 1 species